ACUAACAUGGUUGCAACUAUGUAAGUACGACACAACUGUUCCCCAAAACGAUAGUGUGAACUAUGGUGGUGGAACUUACAUAGUACGAUGCAUCGUGACACUGCGUCAGUGUUUCCCAAAACCAUAGUAGCAACUAACGUUCGCAACCACUAUCGUAAAGUUGUGUAGUUACAGCUACACCUCUCGACCUGUAGUAUGUAGUAAGAACCAUAGUAGACGACGUAACCCUGAUGACGGAACACGCAGAGGACAGAUGGAUGAGAGGUAGCCAUUAAACGAUCCCAUAACAUUGCUGUGGGAUACCAUACCAUAGCAUUGCUGGAAUCUACAAUUGCACAUUACUGUGGUACAGUGGAAAGUGAAGUGUUAUGGAGUUAGCCUACAACAGAGCGGCCUGUGGUGAAGUGCUAUGGUAUGGGUAGGCCUGUCAUGGGAGGCGGAAAAAUGGCCAGCAGGAAGGUGUGCAGCAGCCACUGGAAUGACCUCUUCCACCUCCUCCACUAACAGCUCCUCAUCAGCCGGCAGUGGGAUGUGAUCCUGAAGGCCAUGUUGCAGAAGCGCCGCCACCAAAACUACACUGCACGCCUUUGCAGGAUGGAGCUUCAGGCCACCAGCGGAUUUGCUCACACACCUUUCCACAUGCCCAAGGCCCUCUCCACAACAACGCGGGUCCGGCUAUGGGCGUUGUUGUACCGCGCCUCUGCCUCGCUGUUGGGCUCCUAGAUGGAGCAGUUGACAUGCUUGUAUUAUCAUAGGGGGUUGAUGGAAUAAAGUAGGUCUUGAAAUGUCAGUGCACUCACAGGGAAUAUAGACAUGCAUUUGAAAACAACAGUAUAGACUUUGCUACUAUCUCAGCAGCAGAAGGCAACAACAUGAGCAGCACCUACAGUAACACUGUGUGUGUGUGUGUGUGUGUAUGUUGGUACAGCUGGCGCAGAUCCUUCAACCAUUUGAGCAUUGAAACAUU